AUCGCUUCUUGGCCUUUUGGCUAAGAUGAAGUGUAGUAUCUGUUCUUAUCAGUCAGGGCACCAGCAGAUUCGGUGUCUGGUGAGAGCCCACAUCCCGGUUCAUAGACCUUCUAGCUGUAAGCUCACUUGGUGAGAAGGACCAGGGUUUUCUCUGAUCUCUUUUAUAAGAGCACUCAUCCCAUUCAUGAUGGCUCUGCCCCACC
ensembl:snRNA U2 U2 spliceosomal RNA